ensembl:lncRNA
CACCUGCCAACCAAUGCGUCAUGGCCGCAUGCCGUCGCAGCUGCUGGGGCAGUGUCAUCAACGGCCUUAACAAAAUCUACGGAGUCCGCACGGCAGGGCGCUGGAAGGAGCCAUUUUAAAACGAAACGCUCCACAAUGUAGAAGACCCACACAGCCUCUAGGAGGAAGGGGACCAUUCACUGGUCGUGGAGGCUCCCACACAGGCUGGGACCCAAAUGCAGCUUAGAAACUCAUGGAUUCUUACGAUUUCAUUGCUCUUCACCUCACCCCAUGUCACCGGUGAAGACAGCCUGGUACAAGAUACAAGACUAGCAUUGGAAGGCAUACCAUUCCAGGUGGUGCUGGAGUUUGAAAGAAGGUACAUACGCUUUCCCCUUUAUAUUAUUAUUUUCAGUAUUAUUUAUUUACUCUUUAUUAUCUUAUGA